rnacentral:rRNA from 1 species
CCUACGGGAGGCAGCAGUGGGGAAUAUUGCACAAUGGGGGAAACCCUGAUGCAGCGACGCCGCGUGAAGGAAGAAGUAUUUCGGUAUGUAAACUUCUAUCAGCAGGGAAGAAAAUGACGGUACCUGACUAAGAAGCCCCGGCUAACUACGUGCCAGAAGCCGCGGUAAUACGGAGGGGGCAAGCGUUAUCCGGAUUUACUGGGUGUAAAGGGGACGUAGGCGGCGAUGCAAGUCAGAAGUGAAAGCCCGGGGUUCAACUCCAGGACUGCUUUUGAAACUGUAUGGCUAGAUUGCAGGAGAGGCUAGUGGAAUUCCUGGUGUAGCGGUGAAAUGCGUAGAUAUUAGGAGGAACACCAGUGGCGAAGGCGGCUGGCUGGACUGUAAAUGACGCUGAGGCUCGAAAGCGUGGGGAGCAAACAGGAUUAGAUACCCGUGUAGUC